rfam:Rhodococcus sp. B7740, complete genome.
CCGGUUCCGGUUCACGUCUUCGAUCGGCGAAGACGACCCGGCGACC